rnacentral:rRNA from 1 species
AAGGCGACGAUGCGUAGCCGACCUGAGAGGGUGAACGGCCACACUGGGACUGAGACACGGCCCAGACUCCUACGGGAGGCAGCAGUAGGGAAUCUUCCGCAAUGGACGCAAGUCUGACGGAGCAACGCCGCGUGAGUGAUGAAGGUUUUCGGAUCGUAAAGCUCUGUUGCCCUAGACGAACAGCAAGGCGAGUAACUGCGCUUUGUGUGACGGUAUAGGAGAAGAAAGCCCCGGCUAACUACGUGCCAGCAGCCGCGGUAAUACGUAGGGGGCAAGCGUUGUCCGGAAUUAUUGGGCGUAAAGCGCGCGCAGGCGGUUAAUUAAGUUGGGUGUUUAAGCCCGGGGCUCAACCCCGGUUCGCAUCCAAAACUGGUUGACUUGAGUGUAGGAGAGGAAAGUGGAAUUCCACGUGUAGCGGUGAAAUGCGUAGAGAUGUGGAGGAACACCAGUGGCGAAGGCGACUUUCUGGCCUAUAACUGACGCUGAGGCGCGAAAGCGUGGGGAGCAAACAGGAU